rnacentral:rRNA from 1 species
GGAUCAAUUUGCUGGUCGUGCCUCUGGUACGUCCUGGUAUUAUUGGUUUCUCCCUUCUGACGAACCAUGAUGUCAUUAAUUUGAUGUCGUGGAGAAUCAGGACUGUUACUUUGAAAAAAUUAGAGUGCUUAAAGCAGACUAUCGUCUGAAUACAUUAGCAUGGAAUAAUGAAAUAGGACGUUCGAUCCUAUUUUGUUGGUUUCUAGGAUUGACGUA